rnacentral:misc_RNA from 1 species
GUGAAUUUUAGGGUGCUUUGAGGUUUUAACGUGCUUCAGAGGCCGACAUCCACUUUCCACACUGUGCACCUCUUGGCGAAAUGGAAUCGUGAAUACCCUUUGCUGGGUUAGCGUGGACGUUUUGUCGGCUUCUUUACAAAACACAAGUAUUAAGGAUGUAAACAAAAUUGUAAUAAAAAA